UACGUAGGGUGCAAGCGUUGUCCGGAAUUAUUGGGCGUAAAGAGCUCGUAGGCGGUUUGUUGCGUCGGCUGUGAAAUCCCGAGGCUCAACCUCGGGUCUGCAGUCGAUACGAGCAAACUAGAGUGUUGCAGGGGAGACUGGAAUUCCUGGUGUAGCGGUGAAAUGCGCAGAUAUCAGGAGGAACACCGGUGGGCGAAGGCGGGUCUCCUGGG
rnacentral:rRNA from 1 species